rnacentral:rRNA from 1 species
CAAUUUUAAAUCCACUAUUGACCCCUUUAACUUUACUGAGAAUUUCUAUAUCAUAUAGAACAUUUUAUGCUAAAACUAGUAACAAGAGGGAAACCCUCUCCCAAUGCAAACACAAGCCAGCAAGAACCCGUCACUGGCAAUUAACAGACCUAGACAAAAGUAGCAACAUCUCUAGAAAACCCUACUUCUCACAACUGUUAACCUAACACCAGAGCAUUUCAGGAAAGAUUAAAAGAAAAAGAAGGAACUCGGCAAACACUAAUCCCGCCUGUUUACCAAAAACAUCGCCUCUUGUCCCCAUAAGAGGUCAAGCCUGCCCAGUGACUUUGUUCAACGGCCGCGGUAUCCUAACCGUGCGAAGGUAGCGUAAUCACUUGUUUUCUAAAUAAAGACCAGUAUGAAAGGCAUCACGAGGAUUAAACUGUCUCCUUUUUCCAAUCAGUGAACCUAAUCUCCCCGUGAAGAAGCGGGGAUUAUUCUAUAAGACGAGAAGACCCUAUGAAGCUUAAAACAUUAUAACAUCUGCCACAAAACUUCAACCACUCAGGUAUUUACCCAAGUAGCACUUUGAUUUUAUGUUUUCGGUUGGGGUGACCGCGGAGAAAAACUAAUCCUCCACGAUGAAGGGGAUCCCCCUAAACAAUGAGCUACAUCUUUAUGUAUCAAUAAAUUGACAUCCAUUGACCCAAUAACUUGAUUAACGAACCAAGUUACCCUAGGGAUAACAGCGCAAUCCACUUUAAGAGCCCCUAUCGACAAGUGGGCUUACGACCUCGAUGUUGGAUCGGGGUACCCCAGUGGUGUAGCCGCUACUAAAGGUUCGUUUGUUCAACGAUUAAAACCCUA